rnacentral:rRNA from 1 species
UACGGGGGGGGCAAGCGUUGUUCGGAAUUACUGGGCGUAAAGGGCUCGUAGGCGGCCAACUAAGUCAGACGUGAAAUCCCUCGGCUUAACCGGGGAACUGCAUCUGAUACUGGAUGGCUUGAGUUCGGGAGAGGUGAGUGGAACUGCGAGUGUAGAGGUGAAAUUCGUAGAUAUUCGCAAGAACACCAGUGGCGAAGGCGGCUCACUGGCCCGAUACUGACGCUGAGGUGCGAAAGCGUGGGGAGCAAACAGG